rnacentral:rRNA from 1 species
UGCAUAUCAAAAAAGCGGAGGAAAAGAAACCAACAGGGAUUGCCUCAGUAGCGGCGAGUGAAGCGGCAAGAGCUCAGAUUUGAAAUCUCACCUAGUGUGCGAGUUGUAAAUUGCAGGUUGGAGUCUCGGGUUAGACGUGUGUGCAAGUCCCUUGGAACAGGGUGCCACUGAGGGUGAGAGCCCCGUAGCGUGCAUGUCGAUACCUGUGAGGCCCUUCUGACGAGUCGAGUUGUUUGGGAAUGCAGCUCUAAGUGGGUGGUAAAUUCCAUCUAAGGCUAAAUAUUGGCGAGAGACCGAUAGCGAACAAGUACUGUGAAGGAAAGAUGAAAAGCACUUUGAAAAGAGAGUGAAACAGCACGUGAAAUUGUUGAAAGGGAAGGGUAUUGGGCUCGACAUGGGAUUUACGCAUCGUUGCCUCUCGUGGGCGGCGCUCUGGGUUUUUCCUGGGCCAGCAUCGGUUUUCGUUGCAGGAUAAGGACAAUUGGAAUGUGGCUCCUCGGAGUGUUAUAGCCUUUUGUAGAUGCUGCGUAUGGGGACCGAGGGCUGCGGCGGACUCGUUUCGUCUCGGAUGCUGGCACAACGGCGCAAUACCGCCCGUCUUGA